GAUGAACGCUGGCGGCGUGCUUAACACAUGCAAGUCGAACGGAAAGGCCCCAGCUUGCUGGGGUACUCGAGUGGCGAACGGGUGAGUAACACGUGGGUGAUCUGCCCUGCACUUUGGGAUAAGCUUGGGAAACUGGGUCUAAUACCGAAUAUGACCACUUCUUGGAUGUUGUGGUGGAAAGCUUUUGCGGUGUGGGAUGAGCCUGCGGCCUAUCAGCUUGUUGGUGGGGUAAUGGCCUACCAAGGCGGCGACGGGUAUCCGCCCUGAGAGGGUGUACGGACACAUUGGGACUGAGAUACGGCCCAGACUCCUACGGGAGGCAGCAGUGGGGAAUAUUGCACAAUGGGCGCAAGCCUGAUGCAGCGACGCCGCGUGGGGGAUGAAGGCCUUCGGGUUGUAAACUCCUUUCGCUAUCGACGAAGCCACUUGUGGUGACGGUAGGUAGAUAAGAAGCACCGGCUAACUACGUGCCAGCCGCCGGGGUAA
rnacentral:rRNA from 1 species